AAGUCGUAACAAGGUUUCCGUAGGUGAACCUGCGGAAGGAUCAUUAACACGUAUCCAACGUUAAACCCCCUGUGAACCUUCAUUGUACGAGUUACAUCCACGUCAUAAACCGGCAAUCUCUGGUAAAUCAUCGCCGAACAGUUUUGAUUCAGAGACCUCUGGGAAGGGUGUACGGUAGUGCGAGGCAAUUGACCUGGCAUUCCUCUGCUUGUUAGUGUCUGAAAGUGUCACUAGCUAUGUACGGAUGGCGCAGUAACGAUCGCUGGAGGCCGACACGGCCGGCGACCAGGUCACUGGGCUACGGCCCCCACAACCUUUGCAUGAAAACGGCGGCCACCCCUAAUGCUUGAACAACUGUUAACAAUGGAUAUCUUGGUUCUC
rnacentral:misc_RNA from 1 species